rnacentral:lncRNA from 1 species
UUAUAUGUCACAAUCACCCCAGUGGGCAGGGCCCAGGCAUGAGAUCAGAGUCACAACAUGUAGGUGCUGGGCCAAGUGAUAUGUCACAAUGCCCACUGUAGACAGGUUCCAGGAAGAAAAGGAGCAUCACAUCAUCUAGGUGAUAAACCCUGAGAUAUCUCACAAUGACCCCUUUGUGCAGAGAUCACAAAGAAGAAUCAUAUAACCUGUGUGCUGGAUCCAGUGAACCUAGCAAAAAGAGAAGAGUCACAUCAGCUGGAUGGUGGCCAAGAGAUAUGUCACAAUCCCAUCCGUGGGCUGAGCUAAGGAAGGAGAAUAAAAUCACCCAAGUGUUGAGCAGAGGCAGAUGUUAAAAUCACUCCUGCAGGAAGGCCCAGGGAUGAGAUUAACAAUACUGAACAUGUCCUUGUUUUAGACAGUGUCUCCUCAGUGGAGUAAAAGCCUCACGGUGUGUUGAAUCUUGGUCUGAGAGUCGCCAACCCACUGGUGGACCGGAUCCACUUACAAGAGUCAAUGUUCAAACUUUCAACUGUCUCCAGCUGUGAGAUUCAGAACCUCAACAGGGAUGCAGGUUAUGAAGAUGAGAGCGUGAGACAGCGAGCUGUAAGGGAAGCAGGUUACCCAGGGAUGGACAGAGGAUGGGCCCUGGCCCUCAUGUUAUGAAGCUUCUCCACGUGGUGCCUUCCUCUGUCAAAUGGGCAGAAGAAUAUCCUUUUGAUAGAAUUAAAAUAUACGAAAACCAUUUAUUCUCCUGUUACAAUGAUUUUUAUUUCCACAGCAACACUUAGUACCUGCCCCCCCCUCCAGCUUGCCCUGCCCACCAACCAGGAGCGGGGCCAGCCUGGAUCUCUUCUCUGCCGCUGGCGUAGGGGCGGGGGCGGGGGACAGUGUCUUCAGCAAAAGUCUGCGGAUAGAAAGGCCCCGCUCCUGUCCGGACAGCAGGAAUGGGAGAGCCGCCUCCAACCCCAGCCCCAUGGAGCAGGGCAGAAACGCUGCCCACUGCCCUGCUCCUGCCACCAGGAAGGGCGUGUGGGGGGCCACUUUCUGUAAAGAAGAAACCGCCUGAACAACAAGUGGCUCAAGGCACCCUUGUCUAACGACCAGGGACACUGAGCGCCAGGGCCCAAGUCACCAGCAAGAGAAAACCCAGGCGGAGCCCAGGGUGUCCCCCACUGCCCACCAGCCACUGCGGUCAACGUGAAGGGCAAGGGUGCAAGCGGGAUCGCGUCACAGGGAGCCGAGUGAGCCCAGAAAGUAGGAGAAGGACGUUUCCACCCACCUGGAGCGCAGUCCGUUUGCAGCCGGCGGCAGAAUGCUGCUGUCUCCAUCAAUAAAGUCCAUGUUAGCCACCUAGAGGAUAAAAUACCACGAGGAGGAGUAGCAAGGUGCCCCUGUUGACAGAUCUUGAAGCACAAGCUCACUCCCAGAAGCACAGCUGCCUAGUCAACAAACAGCUGACAAUACAUGUCUGAAGGAGCUCAGCUGGGAACAGAAGAAUGGCCCCACUGAGCCUAGCCUAAAUGGCGGACCAUCUCAAUUAUGAGCUAAUAAGUUUUGGAUGAUUUGUUAUGCUGCCAUACCUAACUAAUACAUGCACCCAGUGCAGAUUGGGUGUCAAGAUUUAAAGACAGUUUGAUUAUUAGUCACCUUCUAACAAUGGGCACCCUAAAGGUACUGACAUUUUUCCCGAUUUAAAGUUAAAUGUCUUGUAAGGCAAUGUUGACUGAUGCAGGAAUACUUGUAGACAUGUAUGCAUGUGAUUGGUGCUUAUAUGCACACAGUCCCCCACACCACAGGAAAAAACCGAUGACCAGAGCCUGACCAUUAUGGCCAAGGCCAAAUAGCCAAAGUUUGCCUUUAAUCUAUUUUCUUCAUAUCUAAAAAUUGGAGGUCAAUACUGUGGACAGGUCUGAAGACAUAGAGUUUUGUUCUCCUGUGGCCCCAUCAUUCUUCAGUGGUCUACCUGUGGUUAUUUUAUUCUUGUUACCUUCUGCUCUUUCUAUGACCACUAUCUGUUCCACCCUUGAAACUGAAGACAGAUGUUAGUAGAAAGAGGCUGUUCCCUCAUGUCGGGCAUGUGGGAUACGAUGAGGUUUCUCUUCAAAUAGCCUGAUCAAUCUUUUAUUCUUUAAUUCAUAGUACCCACACACACACCCCUUUUUUUCCUUUUUCUCCUUUUUCCUUUCUGCCUUUGUUAGAUGCCCAGGCACGCCACAGUACCAGGCAUUAUCAGUACCAGCUCACAUUUCUUCCCUUAUUUGGAAAGAGGACUAACUUUCUAGCUCAAUGCAGACACCCCUUCCCCUUCCUCUCUGCAUUCUUUUGCAUGCCCACCUUAUCUAAAAAAAUCAAAUGUUUAGCCAACCAGGAUUAGUUCAGAUUGUACGACCCGACCCUGGCCAAUGGGGAAAGGGUACAGGGGCAGGACUUGUGUCAGGAAUAAAGGCUCUUGUGCCCCUUUGUUCAGGUGUGCUCUCAUGGUGACUGGACAAGAACGCACCCCUCUGUGCAGAACUAAAAUUGCUUUGCUAGGAAUCCUUUGUUCGAGUGUUCAAUUUCCUUAUGAUUUUGAGCGUUAUUCCUAACAGGAAGAAAAGGGAUAUUCAGGCCUUUCACAGACCUGACAACAGAGCUGCACUUCAAUGUGACAGGUAUUGACCAUGUGUGACUCCUGGGAGCCUGGAAUGUGGCUGGUCUGAGCUGCAAUUUGCAAGAAAGGUAAAAUGCAGAGUUAGUUUCAAAGAUUUAGUUCCAUAAAUAUAAAAAUAUACAACAUAUAGAUAAAAAUAUCUAUAUAUAAUAUGGAUAAAAAUACAUAGCAUAAUGCAAUAUAUAGAUACAUAAUUAUGUUAUAUAUAAAUAUAUAUCUCAUUCAUAAUUAUACAUUGCUCACAUAUUAAAAUAAUAUUUUGGAUAUAUUGCUUUAAUUAAAUUGUUA